UUUAUCAGUCCUGUCGCACUUAAAAGUUUAACUGCACCUCCAAAACACACAGAAAUGUACAAUUCACAGCGGUUAUAAAUGAAGAGACGAAAGAGAAUACCUAUGCAGAAUGUUUAUGAACGUGCAAAAAAAAAAUAAAAUAAAAAGGAUGAGAGUUUUAAUUGUUCCUCCCUCGCCCUCUCUCUUGGAAUGACGAAUGAAAGCGUUUUCUAGACUGGCUGAGGUGUUCUUCCCUCGGCGGCUUUUCCACCAACUUCUGCUCUUCCCCCUCCCUGGGCAGGCGCCUGGCUCGGGCGCAGGCGGACCCGCUGAGGUGAGGAGAGGCGCGCAGGCAGGUUCCGGGCCCGCCUUGCCUCGGCUCCCGGUGCGCUCGGGCACCCGCGGCGCGCCCGGCGCUCCAACAAUUGACGGGGAGGGUCGCUCCGGGGGAUCUCUGCUCAGUGGGCAACCCUCGGCCCAAAGCGAAAGGCAAGAAAAAUCAAAAGCAGCGGAAGAAAGUGCCCUGGUCACUCCCCUCCGAGCUCCCGCUAAGCCAGUGCUGGGGGUCUGGGGUGGGGUGGGGGGGUCUCCGCCGCCCCACUCCCGGAGCCGACUCCCGGAGCCGACCGCCGGCCGCGCCUCCUGCACUACGCUCCGGCCCAGCCCGCCGCGCAGCUGUCUUUAUAGCGCCGCGCGCCCGGGGGCGGGCCCAGCGCGCCGGCCUGGGCGCAGCGCGAGCCGAGCGGAGCCGAGCCGGGCUGGCGCGCGGGCGGGACUCGGGGCGGUGCGGGAAGGGGGGGAGGGGGCCCCCCCGGGGGGGGGGCGGGGGGGCCCGGGAGGGGGCCCCCCCAUUCAGGGGGGCAGGGCCCCCCUCCGGGGAAGGGACCCCUCCGGCCCAAUGGGAAAGGGCCCCUCCUUUGCCGUCCACCCUUGUGGGGUCCGGGGCCCCGGAGGGAAAACCGCUUUGAUUGGGGCUUCGGGGCCCGGCCUUGGGGGGGGCCCUCCUCCAAGGCGCGGGGGGGGGAAAGAGCGAAGUUCCUGCGAAGAACUGCGGGAAUGUGUGGCUGGAAUUCGCUCCGCGCCGGCCUCGGCCGCCGGGGGAGCGCGGGGACACCCGGACACCCCCAGUAGCGCUGCUCGCGGGGACCCUGCGCCGGCCGCCGCUGGGUCCCCGGCCUGUCAGUACCUUGAGAAAGACCCGCGUUCGUUCUCUUCGGUAUUUCACCCCCUAUUGCAUGGUUCGCCUUUUCACAAUUGCAGAAACCACAAGGAUGGGAUGGAAAUGUGUAGCCUUCUUGUAUUCUUAAAAAAAAAAAAAAAAAUGCUAAAGCUUAGCGAAGGAAAAAGGAAAGGCGUGCCGAAUCGAAUGCAAGUUUUUCGUAAAGGGAUCUUUAAAUACGACCCAAACGUGGUGAGAUUCUUUUUUCUUUUCCUCAUCAAGAUGCAAAAGUGA
rnacentral:lncRNA from 1 species